rnacentral:rRNA from 1 species
UACGUAGGGCGCAAGCGUUGUCCGGAAUUAUUGGGCGUAAAGAGCUCGUAGGCGGCUUGUCACGUCGGAUGUGAAAUCCCCGGGCUCAACCUGGGACUUGCAUUCGAUACUGGAUAUCUAGAGUAUGGUAGAGGGAAGUGGAAUUUCCGGUGUAGCGGUGAAAUGCGUAGAUAUCGGAAGGAACACCAGUGGCGAAGGCGCCUUCCUGGACUAAUACUGACACUAAAGUGCGAAAGCGUGGGGAGCAAACAGG